rnacentral:lncRNA from 1 species
AGCAUCUCUGCUCAAUAACUGCAUCAGAGGAGAAGGAAGGUUUCCACAGCCGCUUGGCCCAUUUCCCAAAGGUUUACUAGCAGGCUUUUGAAGACAGGAAGGAUACAGGGAAAGGCUGGGGUUUAUUUCUCAUUGGACAUAACCAACAGUGCGUGGCCUGAGAGACUGGAGUGGAACACUUGGGAGCUCAGCCCUGCCCAGCCUGAGGAAUAGGCCUGGACUCCACCUCUCUGGCUUUUCAGCGAGCGCUGGAGGGGGCUUUUGCUAUGGACUGGUUUUCAGCCAAGAAUCACCGAGUGUUGGUCCUGGUUCCAGCUUCUUACCUGCUUUUUCUUUUUAUGUUAGAUCCUUACAUGGUUUUGGUAGUGAAAUUAGCAAACAUAGGUGGACAGAAAGGAAAAAGAAAAGCACCAUAAAAGGAAAAAUUACCCAGGAGAAAGCAUCGUGUUUCCCCUCUCGGGUUAACAGCUUUUAAGAAUGCCAGACACUUUUUCAGGGCCGAGCGGAUGUCCCUCGGAGCAUAGAUCAAUUAGCACACUGUGUUAUACUUUCUGUCGCUACUUUGUAAAUUUACAGAUAGUAAAUUUACAUCAUAAGCUUGGCCUGAUGUUUUCAAAGAAAUUCCUCCCUAUUAAACAAAUUUUAAACAAUA